CUGCGCAGGUGUGUGGUUUUCUUACCUAUGGAGGUGUGUUGACUGUUGUUACCUGCGCAGGUGUGUGGUGUUGUUACCUGAGGAGGUGUGCAGGAAUGUUAACAUCCAGCAGCACACAGCGGCUCUCCACAUGCGUGUAGCCGGGCUGCACAUGGCGUCUCUCGCCUGUUGACAGUACAAUGCUCCUCGCAGAACUAUUUUGGCGGCUAAAAAGUCUCUCUCGUCUCUCACUCAACCAUCGCAACUGGCUCCGGUCCAGCUGCUCCACGGUCGACGAGCCGUGCACGUCAGCGACAGGUUGCCAUUGUUUAAUCCGCUCGUCGGUGCUUCUGCUUCAGCCAUGCCGGCAGAAGACGACCCGCUGCGUGGACUCGACGUUCGGCCUCAGCAGUCGUUGGUUGGCUUACACGCUGGGAAGAAAAGAAGGAGAUACAGAGCAGGAAAAUCCUAAACUCUUCCAAACUCAACCGUCCUCGCUAUUUUGGCUCAUCGUCGCAGUUCAGAGGCUCCGCCCCCACAAGCUGUUGCGCUCGGCCAGCGGCACGAUGCUGACCCCUGGUGGUGGACUCAAUCCAAGCGUAAACCCGAACCACAAGAUGGGUUCGAAAAGCUUAAUUGUCAUGCCUUAAACGUCGGGUCGCGGGGGCAGCAGCCUAAGCAGGGAAGCCCAAACUUCCCUCUACCCAGCCACUUCGUCUUAACUCUUCCCGGGGGGUCCCGCGGCGUUCCCAGGCCAGCCGGGAGACAUAGUCUUCCCAACGUGUCCUGGGUCUUCCCCGUGGCCUCCUACCGGUUGGACGUGCCCUAAACACCUCCGUAGAGGCGUUCGGGUGGCAUCCCGACCAGAUGCCCGAGCCACCUCAUCUGGCUCCUCUCGAUGUGGAGGAGCAGCGGUUUUACUUUGAGCUCCUCUCGGAUGUCAGAGCUUCUAACCCUAUCUCAGAGGUAGGGAACCUAUGGCUCGCGAGCCAGAUGUGGCUCUUUUGAUGACUGCAUCUGGCUCUCGGAUAAAUCUGAGCUGACAUUGCUUAACAUGAUAAGUAAUGAAUGAUUCCACUUGUAAUCACAGUGUUAAAAAUAACAUUCAAAAUAUAAAA